UACCAGCACCCCGAGUGGUCGGGACGUUUAUUGGGCCUAAAGCAUCCGUAGCCGGUUCUACAAGUCUUCCGUUAAAUCCAACUGCUUAACAGGUGGGCUGCGGAAGAUACUAUAGAGCUAGGAGGCAGGAGAGGCAAGCGGUACUCAGUGGGUAGGGGUAAAAUCCGUUGAUCCAUUGAAGACCACCAGUGGCGAAGGCGGCUUGCCAGAAUGCGCUCGACGGUGAGGGAUGAAAGCUGGGGGAGCAAACCGG
rnacentral:rRNA from 1 species